rnacentral:lncRNA from 1 species
CAACCAAGCUUUUAGAGCAGUUUUCUUUAAACAGCAUGAAUGCACAUGGGUACAUAUGGACAGAAACAGACACACACAUUCUCCAUGAGAAAAGAGAGCAAGUUCUAUAUAAGGAACCCAUGAUGGGAAACAGCCAAGUGAAAUGCACCUGGAUGUCUGUGUAAGCAGUCAUAAGAUUGCCAGUGGCCAGCAGAAGACGAAAGGGAAUGCCUGCCUAGGAGAGAAGAGCACGCCUUGUGCAAACAUCAAAGCGCUGCUUCUAAGAGGGCACAAUUAACAGUGCAUACCUCCUGGGAACAUGUUACCAAAAGUUAGAAGGCCAAAUUCCCUCAGCCUCUAUCCAGCAUCACAAAUAACUUCAAUGAGAACCAUAGGAACAUCGAGUGUCCUGUGAAUCUGAGAACUGCAAUGGGCCCUAGGGGCUCUUCCAUCCAGGCUUAUCAUGAUUCAGGAGAAGAAAUUGAGGACCGAAGACAUCAAAUAUAAUAAGCUAAUGGAGGAACUGAGGCUACUUGCCUGGCUCCAGUGCUCUUUCCUUUGCCUCAAAAUCUUUACAGGUCAGCCAUCUAUCAUGUGUAGAAUAAGCAAACUGAAUUAACAUUGGAAAUAUUAAAAGAACAGAGGUUGCGUGGAUAUUGGUUGGAACAGAGAAGAAGUUUUCACAAGGAAUUAAAGUAACACCAGCUGCUCACUGCUCUGACUUAAACCAUACAGCAACUCCAGAAACAUGGGGGGUGUUGUUGAGUGGCAAGAGAAGCGAAAGAAGAGAAAGAAAAUUUCAAAGUUUCUGCAAUUCUUCAGUGCCACUGAAAUGUGAGAUGGGAGUUGGUGGCUCAUGCUAAGCAGACACCGAAGAGUCCAUGGACAGGAGAGCACGAAGAAGAAAGAUGAAGGUUCUGCCUAUCACACGAGGACAGGGAUCCCUCUCUUCAGCAAAGUGUCCCACAACUUGGGUAGCACCUGGUCAUCUUUCAUGCUUUGUCUCAUCCCUUACUUUCCAAAAUCCUCUUCAGCUUCUCUCUUCUGUGUUAAUAGGGUGGAGACGUGGACAAUGUAGAAAAGGAUGUGUAUCAAGGGAGGGGGCAAAUAAUGGGCUGUGUGAAACCCCUCCAUCAUCUCAAGCUUUCAGCAAAGUCUACCACACAAGCAAAUGUCUUGUGUGAGUGAAGUUCUCAGGGGUAAAGAGACUGUGUUUCACAUCUUGGACAAUAUGGUGCAGAAACAGCAUUUGAGGAACAGCAUAUGCAGCAAGAAAUGUUAAGGGGCAUGUAAAUAUCAUACCAAUCACCACUUAUUCCCUCCCUCCAUCCUCCCUCUCAAAAGUACUUUUGGAAAGAUUGGGAGGGAUUCAAGGCUACUACAGCUUACAGGUUAGGGUUGAAAUAAAUCUCAUUUUAAUCUCAAUAAGCAGGACAACUCAAUCUACAUGUAGCCUACAGUUUUUAUUUAGAUCUAGUUCUCUUAGGCUUUGUAUUCCUAGAAGGCAGAGAUUUGGGGAUAAUUUGCCUCUGAUUCCCCAUGCUUUGCUUACUAAAAUGUAUAUACAUGCUAAAUGAUGUUGUAGUUGCUAGAAGGAAGGAAGGAAGGAAGGAAGAAGGGAAGGAAGAGGAAGGAAGGAAGGAAGGAUUUUAUAGAUUCUUUAAAUAACUAGACAGAGAGUUUUUACUCCAAAGAGCAAUUUUGAGCUCCAAGAUACUAAUUUAUAAAAGAUAAAAAUAAGCGUGAAAAAAGUUUUCUAUAAGUUACCGAUGACAAAUUUUAAUUUUUAAUUAUACCAGGGGAAAGAAAUGUCAGAGGCUCUUUUUAGUUAGGCAAGUUACCAAAGACAUAGGUUAUGAAUAAAUAUUAAUUGGUCUAGAGCUAAAAUAAAUUAGGUUAAGAUAAUUCUAAAAAUGUUUAUGUUAACAAAGACUCCAAACUAAAGCCCAUCAUGUUUAUGCAACAUUUAUGCAAAUAUUUACAGCCUUUUCAAUAGAUAGUUUACUCCUGUGAUAUUGGAGUUUGUAAAAUAAUAUUUUGCAUGCAAAUUAUUUUAUAGUUGGUUUAUAUAAACAGAUUGGGGUUGGCUUGGUAUAGCACUUGGGCUUAUCUGUAGAGCAGCUAUUAGAGCUAUAUACGGUUUUUGCUAUCAUCCAAGAACGUUACCUUCAAUUAGUGAACGAUAUGACCCCAGUGGGAUGCCAUCUACUCAGGAGCAUUGUAAAGCACUUUUAGAUUUGACAAUGGCCCCAUAGAACUCACUCAAUAGGAUGGGCUGUACUUUAAACUCAUAAAGCUCAAGGAAGAGAACACAGCUUCCUUGCGUUGAAUCAAUGGAGACAGCAGGUGCCAAAAGAAAUUCAAGACUCAAUGUACACAUGAAAUUUUUAAUAGCAUUACUUUCUAUAAGGACAAUAAUGCUAAAGAAUGAGUCAAGGCGGCCGGACGCGGUGGCUC